UACGUAGGCAGCGAGCGUUUGUUCGGAGUUACUGGGCGUAAAGGGUGUGUAGGCGGUUCUUUUAAGUUUGGUGUGAAAUCUCCCGGCUCAACCGGGAGGGUGCGCCGAAUACUGAGGGACUUCGAGUGCGGGAGAGGAAAGUGGAAUUCCUGGUGUAGCGGUGAAAUGCGUAGAUAUCAGGAGGAACACCGGUGGUGUAGACGGCUUUCUGGACCGUAACUGACGCUGAGACACGAAAGCGUGGGGUAGCAAACAGG
rnacentral:rRNA from 1 species